GGACCCAGACUAUGCUGCUUUUGGGGAGGAAAUGGCACGCCUCCACGUCCCCAGGCUUGGCAUGCUGCUCCUGCAAGAACGGGUGUUUUGGGCUCCACUGCGUCAUGUCCAGGUGGCACACGGACACCACCUCCAUAGUCGCUGGUUCCGCACUGCCACUGACCUCGCUGACCAGCACCACCAUGUAGGCCCUGGUGGCCGGGCCAGCCAUGUGGCAGUAGAAUACUACGUACGGCACCCACCGUAUCUCAUCGGCGAUGGCGAGGGAGACUGGCACGAACAUGUUGAGAAUGUUACCAAGUCGAUCGAUGGAGAACGGUUAACCAUGGCUAGGAUUAGACUUUUAUUGGGCAAGAGUAAAAUUGAUGCCCCCAUGGCCACCGCCGACUCAAUAAGGUAUUGGGCUGAGUGGAAACCUUGGCCUCCACCUCAAGAAAUUGGCACUACACAUAUUCGAGUGAAUCAAUGGGCAAGUGCAAAAUUAUGGACCUUCCUCACUUGGACAUCCCCUGUUGCAGAGAAAUGGGCAGCUGAACUGAAAGAAAAAGGCAUAAGAUUGGAAGAUGUUGAAUUUGAUUGGAAAACUCUUGAUCCAGAUGUGCAAGAGGUCGAUUACAUUACAUGGGUUUGCAGUUAGGAUUCUUUGU
rnacentral:lncRNA from 1 species